rnacentral:rRNA from 1 species
AACUUCCGCCAUGGACGAAAGCCCGACGGCGCCCCGCCCGCUGAUUGGUUGAGGUCUUCCGGUCGUUAAACUACGUUGUUCAGGGAAAACAAGUAUUGUCCUAAUAGGAGGGUAUGCUGACGGUAUCUGACGAAUAAGCCCCGGCUAACUACGUGCCAGCAGCCGCGGUAAUACGUAGGGUGCAAGCGUUAAUCGGAAUUACUGGGCGUAAAGCGCGCGUAGGCGGUUUCGUAAGAAUGAUGUGAAAGCCCACGGCUCAACCGUGGAAGGGCAUUGGAAACUGGGAAGCUAGAGUACAGAAGAGGAGAGUGGAAUUCCAUGUGUAGCAGUGAAAUGCGUAGAUAUAUGGAGGAACACCAAUGGCGAAGGCAACCUUCUGGAAUGUAACUGACGCUGAGGUACGAAAGCGUGGGUAGCAAACA